CCUACGGGAGAUAGCAGUGAGGAAUAUUGGUCAAUGGGCGCGAGCCUGAACCAGCCAAGUAGCGUGAAGGAUGACUGCCCUACGGGUUGUAAACUUCUUUUAUAAAGGAAUAAAGUGAGGCACGUGUGCCUUUUUGUCUGUACUUUAUGAAUAAGGCUCGGCUAACUCCGUGCCCGCCGCCGCGGUAAUACGGAGGAUCCGAGCGUUAUCCGGAUUUAUUGGGUUUAAAGGGAGCGUAGAUGGGUUGGUAAGUCAGUUGUGAAAGUUUGCGGCUCAACCGUCAAAUUGCAAUUGAUACUGGCAGCCUUGAGGACAGGUGAGGUAGGCGGAAUGCGUGGUGUAGCGGUGAAAUGCUUAGAUAUCACGAAGAACUCCGAUUGCGAAGGCAGCCUACUAAACUGCCACUGACAUUGAUGCACGAAAGUGUGGGGAUCAAACAGGAUUAGAUACCCUAGUAGUC
rnacentral:rRNA from 1 species